rnacentral:rRNA from 1 species
GCUGGCGGUGCGCCUUAUGCCUGCAGUCGAGCGAAGCUUUUCAGUAGUUUACUACAGAAAAUGACUGAGCGGCGAACGGGUGAGUAACGCGUGAGCAAUCUACCUUAGUUACAGGGAUAGCCCGAGGAAACUCGGAUUAAUACCUGAUAUUCUUUUUAUCUCGCAUGAGAUUUUAAGGAAAGGUCAGCCGAACUAAGAUGAGCUCGCGUUCUAUCAGCUAGUUGGUGAGGUAAUAGCUCACCAAGGCUACGACGGAUAGCUGGUCUGAGAGGACGAUCAGCCACACUGGGACUGAGACACGGCCCAGACUCCUACGGGAGGCUGCAGCAGGGAAUAUUGCGCAAUGAGCGAAAGCUUGACGCAGCGACACCGCGUGUGGGAUGACGGAUCUAGGUUUGUAAACCACUUUCAGGAGGGAAGAAAAUGACGGUACCUCCACAAGAAGCCCCGGCCAACUACGUGCCAGCAGCCGCGGUAAUACGUAGGGGGCGAGCGUUGUCCGGAUUUAUUGGGCGUAAAGAGCUCGUAGGCGGUUCAACAAGUCGGUCGUGAAAGUUCAGGGCUCAACCCUGAAAUGUCGAUCGAUACUGUUGUGACUAGGAUAC